CCUACGGGUGGCAGCAGUGGGGAAUAUUGGGCAAUGGAGGAAACUCUGACCCAGCAACGCCGCGUGAAUGAUGAAGGUCUUCGGAUUGUAAAGCUCUUUUCUAAGGGAAGAAGAAAGUGACGGUACCUUAGGAAUAAGCCUCGGCUAACUACGGGCCAGCAGCCGCGGUAAUACGCAGGAGGCAAGCGUUAUCCGGAAUGACUGGGGGUAAAGGGUGCGUAGGUGGUUUGACAAGUUGGUAGCGUAACUCCGAGGCUUAACCUCGGCACUACUACCAAAACUGUUGGACUCGAGUGCAGGAGGGGCAAGUGGAAUUCGUGGUGUAGCGGUGGAAUGCGUAGAUAUUAGGAGGAACACCAGUGGCGAAGGCGAUUUGCUGGACUGUAACUGACACUGAGGCACGAAAGCGUGGGGAGCAAACAGGAUUAGAUACCCUUGUAGUC
rnacentral:rRNA from 1 species